UGUGUUUUAUAUGUAUGACUGUAUUAUAUUACCACUGUAGUAUUGAUGCUAAAACAUCGGUUUUCAAAUCGACAACUGUGAAAUUUUAUCAUGGUUAGCGGCUUGUCGAAUUAUCUACACAUUCAGUCUUGAGUGACAUUUGUAAGGGAUGACUACUUAUUUUCCCGAUUUGAAUUGUUUGUCCAGUUUUGUUGAUUUUGAAUGGAUGUGUAAUGAUCUAUACCUCCCCGUUUCAGUCCCAUUUCUGUGUAUGUUGUACGCUUGUUUGUGUAAUACGAGAUCUCAGAAUAUAGCUCAUUAUGUCAUGCCCAUGAAAACUACGAAACAUUAAAUCUGUAAUCAUCGAUUUAUGAUGAUUAAUAAAUGUCUCAAAUAAU
rnacentral:misc_RNA from 1 species